CAGUCGCCGCGGUAAUACAGAGGGUGCGAGCGUUAAUCGGAUUUACUGGGCGUAAAGCGUGCGUAGGCGGCUUUUUAAGUCGGAUGUGAAAUCCCUGAGCUUAACUUAGGAAUUGCAUUCGAUACUGGGAAGCUAGAGUAUGGGAGAGGAUGGUAGAAUUCUAGGUGUAGCGGUGAAAUGCGUAGAGAUCUGGAGGAAUACCGAUGGCGAAGGCAGCCAUCUGGCCUAAUACUGACGCUGAGGUACGAAAGCAUGGGGAGCAAACAGGAUUAGAUACCCCGGUAGUCCCUGUCUCUUAUAC
rnacentral:rRNA from 1 species